GAUGAAGAACGCAGCGAAAUGCGAUAAGUAGUGUGAAUUGCAGAAUUCAGUGAAUCAUCGAAUCUUUGAACGCACAUUGCGCCCCCUGGUAUUCCGGGGGGCAUGCCUGUCCGAGCGUCAUUACAACCCUCAAGCUCAGCUUGGUGUUGGGCCCCGCUGCCCCGGCGGGCCCUAAAGUCAGUGGCGGUGCCGUCCGGCUCCGAGCGUAGUAAUUCUUCUCGCUCUGGAGGUCCGGUCGUGUGCUCGCCAGCAACCCCCAAUUUUUUUCAGGUUGACCUCGGAUCAGGUAGGGAUACCCGCUGAACUUAAGCAUAUCAAUAAGCGGAGGA
rnacentral:misc_RNA from 1 species